AGUAUUAAAAAGCAUUAGAGAUGCACCGAUUGACCGGCCGCUGACCGGAAUUGGCCAGGUUUCACGUGACCGCCCAUGACCGGCAGGUCAGACUGACAUAUGUCAAUUUUAUGCUGGUCAAAUGCACUUGGGCGCCGCAUGUUUAACAUCGCGCAACAUCAGCAUCACAUGUGCACACGCACCGCCGCUCCA